CCAGACAAUCAUAUAACAUAAUUUUGAUGAAAGGAUGGAUGUCAUUAUAGUAUGCAUCUCUGCCAUGCUGUCUGUGAUAUUUGCAGAGAUACCCAGCUGGGGAGCUCAGAGUUGACAAUCAUGAGUCUGUACAGCUCAGCUUCAGUACUGUCACUGGGAAAGAUAAGUCUUUAUGCAUGGGUUCGGCAGAAAUUAGGAACUGUGUAAGUG